AGGUCCGGAGCCGAAGGGAAACCAAGUCUUAAUAGGGCGCCAAGUCAGCCGGAGUAGACCCGAAACCGGGUGAUCUAUCCAUGUCCAGGUUGAAGUUGCCGUAAAAGGCAAUGGAGGACCGAACCCACAUCCGUUGAAAAGGGUGGGGAUGAGGUGUGGAUAGGGGAGAAAUUCCAAUCGAACCCGGAGAUAGCUGGUUCUCCUCGAAAUAGCUUUAGGGCUAGCCUCGAUAGAGUCACACGGAGGUAGAGCACUGAAUUUCCUAGGGGGCGUCAAAGCUUACCGAAGAAUAUCAAACUCCGAAUGCCGUAGUGAUGCUUAUCGGGAGUCAGACUACACGAGAUAAGUUGGGUAGUCGAAAGGGAAAGAGCCCAGACCUGCAGCUAAGGUCCCAAAAUGUGUGUUAAGUGGAAAAGGAUGUGGGAUUUCAAAGACAACCAGGAUGUUGGCUUAGAAGCAGCCAUACAUUAAAAGAGUGCGUAAUAGCUCACUGGUCGAGAGGUCCUGCGCCGAAAAUGUCCGGGGCUGAAACACACUACCGAAGCUCAGGAAUCCUAUAAGGGAUUGGUAGAGGAGCAUUCUUAGGGCGGCGAAGCAGUACCGGAAGGAGCUGUGGAGCGUUAAGAAGAGAGAAUGCCGGAAUGAGUAGCGAGAUGGAGGUGGGAAUCCUCCAGGCCGAAUAUCUAAGGUUUCCAGAGUAAAGCUGAUCUGCUCUGGGUAAGUCGGGACCUAAGGCGAGGGCGAAAGCCGUAGUCGAUGGACAACAGGUUGAAAUUCCUGUACUGCAGUAUGACAGAACUGUGGGGACACGUGUGGAGAGCAUAAGCCGGGAAUGGAAAGACCGGCGCAAGCGAGGUAGGUGUCACAUAGGAAAAUCCGUGUGAUAAGCCGAAGACGUGAUGCGGAGUGAAACAUAAGUAACGAAGUAUGUGAGCCAUGCGUCAAGAAAAGCCGCUAUUGUUUGUACUGUACCCGUACCGUAAACCGACACAGGUGGAUGAGGAGAGAAUCCUAAGGCCGACGGGAGAAGCAUUGUUAAGGAACUCGGCAAAAUGACUCCGUAACUUCGGGAGAAGGAGUGCCAUGUAAAAGUGGCCGCAGAGAAUUGGCCCAAGCAACUGUUUAGCAAAAACACAGGUCUAUGCGAAACCGAAAGGUGAAGUAUAUGCUGACGCCUGCCCGGUGCUGGAAGGUUAAGGGGAGAGGUUAGCGCAAGCGAAGCUUUGAACUUAAGCCCCAGUAAACGGCGGCCGUAACUAUAACGGUCCUAAGGUAGCGAAAUUCCUUGUCGGGUAAGUUCCGACCCGCACGAAAGGCGUAAUGAUUUGGGCACUGUCUCAACAAUGCACCCGGUGAAAUUGAAAUACCAGUGAAGAUGCUGGUUACCUGCGCCAGGACGGAAAGACCCCAUGGAGCUUUACUCCAGCUUGAUACUGGGAUUCGGUAUUGCAUGUACAGGAUAGGUGGGAGACGGAGAAAUGGUAACGCCAGUUGCCAUGGAGUCGCUGUUGGGAUACCACCCUUGCAGUACUGGAUUUCUAACCAGCAGCCGUGAACCGGCUGGGGGACAAUGUCAGGUGGGGAGUUUGACUGGGGCGGUCGCUCCGAAAGGGUAUCGGAGGCGCUCAAAGGUUCCCUCAGAAUGGUUGGAAACCAUUCGAAGAGUGCAAAGGCAGAAGGGAGCUUGACUGUGACACCGACGGGUGGAGCAGGUACGAAAGUAGGACUUAGUGAUCCGGUGGUAUAAAGUGGGAUUGCCAUCGCUCAACGGAUAAAAGCUACCCUGGGGAUAACAGGCUUAUCACUCCCAAGAGUUCACAUCGACGGAGUGGUUUGGCACCUCGAUGUCGGCUCAUCGCAUCCUGGGGCUGAAGUAGGUCCCAAGGGUUGGGCUGUUCGCCCAUUAAAGCGGUACGCGAGCUGGGUUCAGAACGUCGUGAGACAGUUCGGUCCCUAUCCGGCGUGGGCGUAGGAUAUUUGAGAGGAGCUGCCCUUAGUACGAGAGGACCGGGGUGGACUGGCCGCUGGUGUAUCUGUUGUAUUACCAAAUGCAUAGCAGAGUAGCCAAGCCGGGACGGGAUAAACGCUGAAGGCAUCUAAGCGUGAAGCCCCCCUCAAGAUGAGAUAUCCCAACGAAAGUUGUAAGACCCCUUGAAGACGACGAGGUAGAUAGGACAGAGGUGGAAGUGUGGUAACACAUGUAGCUGACUGUUACUAAUCGGUCGAGGGCAUAACCAAG
rnacentral:rRNA from 1 species